GAGAUUUCAUUAAAAUGCUAGAUAAUUUACAGAGUUAUCUCCCUUUUAAUGUAUGUAUACUCUUGAUAUUUGAUUGUUGUUCACCAGUGUAUGUUUUAGUUGUGAAUCCUUUUUGAAACUUAUUUUGUGACAAUUUUCGUGUGAAAUCCAGAACAGAAUUAAAUCAUGCUAGAAGCUGGUUAUUCACAAGUAAAUGACGAGGGGAAAUAGAACACACUAU
rnacentral:lncRNA from 1 species